UACGUAGGGUCCGAGCGUUGUCCGGAAUUACUGGGCGUAAAGAGCUCGUAGGUGGUUUGUCGCGUUGUUCGUGAAAACUCACAGCUCAACUGUGGGCGUGCGGGCGAUACGGGCAGACUAGAGUACUGCAGGGGGAGACUGGAAUUCCUGGUGUAGCGGUGGAAUGCGCAGAUAUCAGGAGGAACACCAAUUGCGAAGGCAGCUCGCUGGGCCUUACCUGACGCUGAGGAGCGAAAGCGUGGGGAGCGAACAGG
rnacentral:rRNA from 1 species